rnacentral:rRNA from 1 species
UGGCUCAGAUUGAACGCUGGCGGCAGGCCUAACACAUGCAAGUCGAACGGUAACAGGCCCUUCGGGGUGCUGACGAGUGGCGGACGGGUGAGUAACACGUUGAUACCUGCCCUAGAGUAGGGGACAACCGGUGGAAACGCCGGCUAAUACCCUAUAGUUCUCGAGAGAGUAAAGGAGAGAUCCGCUCUAGGAGGGGUCAGUGGCCUAUCAGCUAGUUGGUGGGGUAAAGGCCUACCAAGGCGAAGACGGGUAGGGGGCGUGAGAGCGCGACCCCCCACAAUGGGACUGAGACACGGCCCAUACUCCUACGGGAGGCANCAGUGAGGAAUAUUGCACAAUGGGGGAAACCCUGAUGCAGCAAUGCCGCGUGAGUGAUGAAGGCCUUCGGGUUGUAAAGCUCUUUUCUGUGUGAAGAGAAAGGACGGUAGCACAGGAAUAAGUCCCGGCUAACUACGUGCCAGCAGCCGCGGUAAAACGUAGGGGGCGAGCGUUAUCCGGAAUUACUGGGCGUAAAGGGCACGCAGGCGGCUUGGUAAGUUAGAUGUGAAAGCUCCCGGCUUAACUGGGAGAGUGCGUUUAAUACUGUCAAGCUUGAGUAUGAUAGAGGAGAGCAGAAUUCCCGGUGUAGUGGUGGAAUGCGUANAGAUCGGGAGGAAUACCAGUGGCGAAAGCGGCUCUCUGGGUCAUAACUGACGCUGAGGUGCGAAAGCGUGGGUAGCGAACGGGAUUAGAUACCCCGGUAGUCCACGCUGUAAACGAUGGA